ensembl:snRNA U6 U6 spliceosomal RNA
GUGCUCGUUUCACGGCACGUGUGCUAAAAUGGAACCAUAUUGAGAUGAGCAUGGAGCCGGCACAAGGAUGGCGUGCAAAUUCAUGAACUGUUCCAGAUUUUU